GAUUUUGUUCUGAUUUUAGGCUUCUCAAGAGCUUAGCUUUUUUGCAGCUGGCAAUGAUUUUAGGCACUGGAGAAAGAAAAUAGUGAAGAUGGAAAUAAUUCUGAUUCUAGCAGUUAUUCUAAUGAUAAUGAGGACGAAAGGCCGGAGAGCAAAUCUAUCACCACCUCUUGGCCUCAAAGUUACAGGCAGUCCAUCGAUUUAUACAGUAGUGUACCAUCUCCAAGUCUUAACUUCCUGGGGACGCCUACGUUAUCAUGUUUAGGCAGCUCAUGUAUCUCUUAUUCAUUAACAAGAAGAUACACUCCUGAAGUACUCCCUUCUUCGCAAAACCUCUAUUACCACCAGUAGCAGAUGCACGUCGGCCACCAGAAAGGCGUAGUUCACAUUCUCUGCUGCCCUCCAUUCAAGGGAGGCCUUCCUUAAGAAAAGCAACUGCUGACAAGAAAUCAUCCAAGGUCUCACAUGAGGUUUCUCUUCCUAGCCAGAGUUCAUAUGGACAAGCUGUGGUGAAUGGCAUAAAUGUUCUUUGUGGUGUUGGAAUUCUUUCAACUACUUGUGCUGUCAAAGAAGGUGGAUGGGUUGGGCUCUCAAUUCUGUUUAUCUUUGCUGUUGUUUCUUACUACACUGGGAUUCUCCUGCAUUCCUGUUUGGACAGUCAACCUGGGCUCGAGACUUACCCGGAUAUUGGCCAUGCUGCCUUUGGUAAUGUGGGACGUAUUGCUACAUCUGUUUCACUCAUGCCAGAUCCAAAAGCUAGAUCAUAUUUAUGCAGCUCUUUGUCA